rnacentral:rRNA from 1 species
CCUACGGGAGGCAGCAGUGGGGAAUAUUGCGCAAUGGGCGAAAACCUGACGCAGCGACGCCGCGUGAGGGAUGAAGGUCUUCGGAUCGUACACCUCUGUCAGCAGGGAAGAACGGUCACUGUGCUAAUCAGCAGUGAAUUGACGGUACCUGCAAAGGAAGCACCGGCUAACGCCGUGCCAGCAGCCGCGGGAAUACGGAGGGUGCGAGCGUUAAUCGGAAUUACUGGGCGUAAAGCGCUCGUAGGCGGUAUGUCAAGUCAAGGGUGAAAUCCCCGCGCUCAACGUGGGAACUGCCUUUGAAACUGGCAAACUGGAGUGUGUGAGAGGAGAGUGGAAUUCCAGGUGUAGGAGUGAAAUCCGUAGAUAUCGGGAGGAACAUCAGUGGCGAAGGCGACUAUCUGGCACAUAACUGACGCUGAGGAGCGAAAGCGUGGGUAGCAAACAGGAUUAGAUACCCUUGUAGUC